GUUUAUGCCAGGGAUUGUUUAUCACGAGUUGCUUUGUUGUACGUCGCCGUCGGAGCCACCAUUCCACUACUGCCGUCUUUGCUCUGAGCAGUUUGUUGUAGCAAGUAUUGUUGUCGUUGCGGCUGUUCGGUUUAGUCGCUCCUCUUUAGUACGGAUCGAGAUCCGGUUGCUGUACGUUGGUGAAUUUAAGUUACUGCUGUGGGUGCGGAUACCAUGGAGCUGCGGUUGUGGUUGUUACCAAUGUCGGGCCGAGAGGAAAAGAGUUUCGGUGACGUGUUUAGUUUAUAGUCUCAACUAAUUGAGGAACCGGAUGAAGAAGCAUUAAGAAGAGUUAUACUGCGUUU